CCGGUGACAAACCGGAGGAAGGUGGGAUGACGUCAAGUCAUCAUGGCCCUUACGGCCUGGGCUACACACGUGCUACAAUGGUCGGUACAAAGGGUUGCCAAGCCGCGAGGUGGAGCUAAUCCCAUAAAACCGAUCGUAGUCCGGAUCGCAGUCUGCAACUCGACUGCGUGAAGUCGGAAUCGCUAGUAAUCGUGAAUCAGAAUGUCACGGUGAAUACGUUCCCGGGCCUU
rnacentral:rRNA from 1 species